rnacentral:rRNA from 1 species
ACGGGAGGCAGCAGUGGGGAAUAUUGCACAAUGGGCGCAAGCCUGAUGCAGCGAUGCCGCGUGAGGGAAGAAGGUUUUCGGAUUGUAAACCUCUGUCCUCAGGGACGAUAAUGACGGUACCUGAGGAGGAAGCUCCGGCUAACUACGUGCCAGCAGCCGCGGUAAUACGUAGGGAGCGAGCGUUGUCCGGAAUUACUGGGUGUAAAGGGUGCGUAGGCGGGACGGCAAGUCAGAUGUGAAAUGUAUGGGCUCAACCCAUAACCUGCAUUUGAAACUGUUGUUCUUGAGUGAGGUAGAGGUAAGCGGAAUUCCUAGUGUAGCGGUGAAAUGCGUAGAUAUUAGGAGGAACAUCGGUGGCGAAGGCGGCUUACUGGGCCUUUACUGACGCUGAGGCACGAAAGCGUGGGGAGCAAACAGGAUUAGAUACCCUGGUA